CUUGUGAUUCACCGAGAUGUGAGAUAAAACGGCCACCUAAACCUAAAGUUUAACUUCCGAUUAUAUAGGUAACAACACAAGUGUCAUUAACCUAUUUUCCUAAUCCUAAGAUAUCUUCAAAUCUUCUUUACUUUAUUUUCUUAUAUCUUGAAUAACUUGAAUACUUGCAUAUCACGUUGUGGAACUCCAACGACCAAUCGCAGCUCGCCACGUCAUCAUCAUUUAAGUUUCGCUGCUUCUCGCGUACAGCUCCUUCUUGUGCUUCACAGAAUCGCCUUGUACUCAGACCUCCAUAUGUCUUCACUUCGUUCCCUUGAUCUCAAGCUAUUGUCGACUGAAUGGUCUCGACCUCUUUAGGACGCCACCAUGACUUCUAAACAGAGAGCAAUCCUUCUCCAUCUUUGGAAUAUGUCAUUCUUACAUUCCAUUUCAUCGAUUUCACCAUCUUCUCAAUUUCUCCUAUAGUUUCCAUGUCAUCUCUUACUAUGAAAGUUCCUUGUGGUCUACGAAUCCGGUCUACUUCAGCCAUCACGCCCACCAAGUUGCACUUAAAGAGAUUUUGUUUAUACAUAGCCAUCAGAGUUUGCAAUCAAGAAUUAUAGAGAUAGACAAAGGAGAUGAAUAAAUGUGUAUAUUCUUCAAUGUAACUAACUAACUACUUCGUAAAACAGUAAAAAAUAUAUUAGUCAAAAGAUAUUGGCGUCGGGUUUUAUACAUAAAACCUAUGUCAGAUACAAAGAUGAAUGUGAUGCCCAUGAAGCACGAA